rnacentral:rRNA from 1 species
AUACGUAGGUGACAAGCGUUAUCCGGAUUUACUGGGCGUAAAGGGCGUGUAGGCGGUCUUGCAAGUCAGAAGUGAAAUUCCUGAGCUCAACUCGGGCGCUGCUUCUGAAACUGGAAGACUUGAGUGCAGGAGAGGAAAGUGGACUUCUCAGUGUAGCGGUGAAAUGCGUAGAUAUUGAGAAGAAAACCAGUAGCGAAGGCGGCUUUCUGGACUGUAACUGACACUGAGGCACGAAAGCGUGGGUAGCAAACAGGAUUAGAUACCCUGGUAGUCCACACUGUAAACGAUGAAUGCUAGGUGUAGGGGGUAUCGACCCCUUCUGUGCCGCAGUCAACACAAUAAGCAUUCCGCCUGGGGAGUACGGCCGCAAGGUUGAAACUCAAAGGAAUUGACGGGG